CAGGGGGGAAUAUUGGGCAAUGGAGGAAACUCUGACCCAGCGACGCCGCGUGAGGGAUGAAGGCCUUCGGGUUGUAAACCUCUUUCAGUAGGGAAGAAGCGAAAGUGACGGUACCUACAGAAGAAGCACCGGCUAACUAUGUGCCAGCAGCCGCGGUAAUACAUAGGGUGCAAGCGUUGUCCGGAAUUAUUGGGCGUAAAGAGCUCGUAGGUGGUUCGAUACGUCGGAUGUGAAAAUCAGGGGCUCAACCCCUGACCUGCAUCCGAUACGGUCGAGCUAGAGUUUGGUAGGGGAGACUGGAAUUCCUGGUGUAGCGGUGGAAUGCGCAGAUAUCAGGAGGAACACCGAUGGCGAAGGCAGGUCUCUGGGCCAAUACUGACACUGAGGAGCGAAAGCGUGGGGAGCGAACAGGAUUAGAUACCC
rnacentral:rRNA from 1 species